GGUUGCUGUCUCUUUGACAAAUGCUCCAUAUCUUCUUUGAUUCGAAAAGUCUGCAUGGUGAUAUACUGAUAUCGCUUUUCUUCGUUGUUUAAUAAUUCAUGAAUCGUGAAAUGAUUUGUAUUGAAAAAAAGUCAUGUACAUGUACUUGUUACCUCAGUUAUGUAAUACACAUUCAGUGCGUGAUAUAAAUAUUCCCAAGAC
rnacentral:lncRNA from 1 species